CCAUGCCAACAACAAUCCAGUUCCACAGUGUGUAAGGGUGGCUGUGGGGACAGCCUCCAGAGCUGACAGAGAGGCUCUGGAUACUUCAUGACGGUCAAAUGGACAGAGUGGGUCCGGACACCCCAGCCACCUUUCUGCACACACGUGUGGACACAGGAGGACACAUGCUUGGUGUUGGGGAUUGAACUCCAGCAGUAGUGUGAGGGAUCCAGUAAGACAUGAGAAAGGUCUUCCAGCCGGAGAAAGGUUCAGCCCUGCAGUGUGUCACUGGAAAAGGAUGCCGAAGUGCUGCCUGAGAGAGAAUAUGUCUGAUGAGUGAGGGGUGGAGUCCUGCAGUUCUACAGAAGCCCCUGGCUGCCUAGACAGUGAUAAGGAUAACAGGAAAUGCCUCUCUGGGUGGCCUCUUCCUUUCCUGCCAGGGCCCAGGGCCAUUCUGAGGACUGAGCAAUAGCCGUGGAAGGUAGGUCUGGCUGAGUUAGCUGCUGUGUGCCCACAGGCAUGCCUGCCUUUCUUCCUUUUCUUAGUAGAACCCAUCCAUCUACUAAUAUGUCUUAAGAGCCAGGCCAAUCCUCUUCCACACAGAGCAAUAUCAGAAAACCCAGGAAAUGCUCAGAGCCAAGAAGGAAGUCAUUGCUAGUCUCCAUGGGCGUAUUCUAAGUCCCACAUGUGAAAGAAGGAGGCCUCUCCCCAUGGGUGUACAGAGAGCUGGACACAUGGUGAAGUCACCCCAUAGCUGAGGGGCUAUCCAGAUGCACCCGGAUGGACAAGCCAACUUCUUCAGAUUAAAGGGGAUAAAAAUGACUCCUCCUUGUCCAUUUCUAUGGUAAGGCACAAACCAAAUGCCUCAUGUAACUGCAUGUGUUUCCUGCAUGGUAAAAUGUUCAUUCUGCAGGAGUUAAUAAACACUAACUGCUGAAUUGACACAUGAAUAAAUCUCCCCCAGAUUCGACAUCAGAGAGGCAUUAAUAAAUUAUUCGGUGGGGGGGGGGGUGAAGGGUUAGUAGUUAGCGUCACUAGUGAGAAGACUAUUGGGAGAGGACACAUCGGCAGAACUUGGUCCCAACGAUUCAUAGUAAAUACAGAGAAGGAAUUACUCGUGGGUUUGCCUGUGUUGUCCAGUGCCCACACUGCCACAUGUGCAUGAACAAAAGAGCAACCAAGCCACUGCCUAGGAUAAGGUCAGCCAGGUAAUCUAAAACAGGAAGGACACACAACGUAGGAUCUCAUAGAAGGGUAAGCAAGCAACUCACAGAAGGUGACUUCCAAACUACCCUGUCCUCAUAGCUGUUCCUAUGGAAUAAAGAAACUGUCCUGGAGCCGAAGUUGUAGGCUGAGCUGUAUGCUUUUCCACUGGGGAGUAAAGACUGCCUGCGCCCUGAGGUCCAUGGAUACCUACUGAGCCUCACAGAGCACUGAGGCCAGCAGCCAGCCCCAUGAACAUUGUCACCAAAAGGGCAGUGGCAACUGUGUUUUUGAUGAGCGCUAUGCUCUGAGCUCUGUGAAGGGACUGUGAGUUAAAUUGAAUAAUAACCAUAAAAAUGCUCAAUAAUAAUAACUACUUGUCUCUGAUGGCAAAGAAAACUGUAGAUGAGCACAGGGAAGGUAAAGAAAGGGCAUGCUUACAUUUGUUGCCUUUAUGAGCGAUAAGAAACUGACGGUAUGGCAUUGGAAUGUAUACUUGUGGCACACUUAAUUUAAACUAAAUAUGUAUGGAUCUGGCUUCUUGAGGCUUUCUUUCAAAACACUGGGGAAACGCAGUACCCAUGAAUACUUUAAGGUUGCACUGAAAUGUAUAUAAUUCUUUUUUUAAAACCAUUCUUGAGAUAUUACCAGAAGGCCCUGAACUGUCUCUUUUGAAAGCCAGCAGCAAUGUCAUCAGCAAUUGUGAUUUCUGUGUUCCUUAUCAGCCUAGGGAAUGGACAAGACAAUACAAGCCAUUAGGUCCCACAUUUGCAUCAAAUCCCAGAGGAAAGCAUUUAGGAGGGACAGAACGCAAGACAAAGGGACAGGUUGAGGAAAGAGCUGGAACUGGAUGGUGUCUCAGGAGAACAGCUGAGGUACAGCCAAUGCCUCGGUGGCAGGCUUGAAGUACGCCUGCUGCAUUUACCUUGUGACAGCCUCGUAUGCAAUCAUCAAAUGGUACCACAAGGAGAGAGCACACAUUCAGAACUCACUGUAAGAGCCAGCCUGCUUCAGAGACACUGACCAGCAAGCAAUCACGGUGCUGCACAUCACACAGGGUGGAGCCAGCCGUGCGUGAGCUUCGAUGGGCGACCACAGCAAGGAAAUGGAAGCCAAAGAGAACCAAGCGCUGAACGGGCAAUAAUAGAAGACCAACAGCUUCCUAACAAAUCAAAGAAGCUCUAAGUACAGAAAAUGCCUUUCGCAUGCUCAUAUGGCCAAGACUUCCCGCUGAUUUCUAGUUGCUGACACCACAGCUGAACAGAUAACUGGAGAAAGACAAGGCUGUUCCUCAUUCACCUGCCUCGAUUAAAGACCCGAAAAUGAAUACUGUGUAGGCAAAGACGGGAUUCCCCUCAGAGAGCAACAGUGGGUGAGGAUAAUCCUAGGUGUGGCAAAGAUCGAGGACCUCCACAAAGGCUCCAGCUGCAGCUUGCUGGGCUGUCUGUCCCACCAGCAGACAGGCUUCAUCAGGAAUGAAAACCAUGUAAAUAUCUUUGGACUUAUUUCUGUGGCUCGUUUUUUUUAAUGAUGUGUAUCAAUGGGUAUGUAAUUUGCUUAGGAUAACAUUUUCCCUAAUAUACCUCUAAGCACCUGCAUGAGCCAGCUCAUGUCUAAGCAAAAUUAAAAAAGCCUUUUGCAUGGCAAAUACUCUCCAUGGUGUUAGAGAUGGCCUGCCACCGGCAUGCUGUGAUUUGCUGCUGCAAUCUGACUUCUCUGCCAUAGGACUUUAUUUCAGCCAUGGAACUGACAUGGCAGAUGAUAGCAGUGUUGAUCUUGAGAGGUGCCUGACUUAGAAAGGCCCGCUGGUCUUGUCACCUUUCUGUUUCUUCAUUAGUCAGAACAUAUGUCAGCUAUCACUAUAGAUAGUUUUGGAACCAUUGCUUUGGAAUUUCCCCUAGAGCAUCCUCAAUAAAAGGUGAGGCAGGACAUUUGAUUUCAUUUUCCACUUUGGGUCGAAUAUCCUCUUUCUAGCAUACAUUCUGAAAGGAAGAGGUUGGGGUUUAUGGGGUAACAGUGUAUCAAGGAGAAAAGGGAGCAGUCACAUUGCAUUGCUCAAAGCUACAUACAAUCUCUGCAUUUAAGGACAGGUGGGCAAAGCGAGUAGUGUGUGCCUCGUUUUGGCAGCUAGGGCAAAGGACUUGGGAAGUUGAAAUGCUGUUUAAGAGGGAGGAGUGAUCCUUAUGACCAAAAUAUAUUGUGUGAAAUUCUCAAAUGAUUAACAGAAUCUUUUUAAAGUCACGUGCACAGGUUCCCAUCAGGUAAAGAACUGGAACUUGAGUUCUCAUGUUGUAGUCUCCAGAGUGGAUGCAAUUGUAGCAAUCCCAGGGCAUUUUUUAAAAUUAAGGUAAAAGAUAAAUCAUAGGCUACCAUUUUAAAAUGUAUCUACCAGGGCUUGGCAGUGGGAAAUAGAGACCAUUAUAACUAUUUUAAACAGGAAAACCAGGGCUCAGAAAACAGGAAAGUAGGCUGUAGGCCAGAUUUCCAGACAUGGCUUCAGGUGUACCUUGCUGGACUGUCCUUUAAUGGGGCUGUCCUUUCUACCCUAAUCAAAAGAUGGGAGUGGCCCAUGAUGUUGGGGGUUCUAGAACACUGACCCAGACCUUGGAGACUGCAGACUACCAGUGUGAUAAUUGUUUCUCUAGACACUUGAAACCAGUGACCAUACAUGCAUAGAACUUGGAUACAGUACACACUUGGCUUGCUGAAGGUUGGUUCUCUGUCAUACUCCCAUUUACCAAUAAUGGAUAUGUCUAGUGGAGAAACCUGCUAUGCACUACUUAAACCUACCUGAGAAAGAUUCUGAGUAAUAUAUGAUUGGAAUAAAUACUGUCAACUUAUAGGCAAAUUCCAGAACAUUGAAAUUCUCUCUAGAUGGACACACACACACACACACACACACACACACACACGCACGCACGCACACUCACGGGGAGGGCUUCUUUUAAUAUCCAUUAUAUUUAUUAUUCCUCAUUUAUUUGUCCUUAUGACUUUUCUCUCUUGAGCUAAUGCAGAAUAUGAUUUUGGAUCUCACCCCACUAAAAACAUUGAGAGUGCAAUAGUCCAGAAGGGUGUGGUGGUACAGGAAUGGGUCUGAUCUUAAUGAUGCAAGCACCCACUCUCAGCCUUAGAAGAACAAGAGGAGGAAGAGAAGGCUGUCGUCUCCACAUAGGCAAGGAGGCCAUGGCUCCGGGAAUAGGGGAACACAGAUACUUGACAGAGACUCACAGGAAGGGAGAGUUAGACUCAGCAGUGAUACUAGAUCUGGUGGCAAGCCAAGCACACUGUUCGGGCAGACAGAAUCCCCUGUGGCAUGAGGUAAUUACUGUGAACCAUAUUUACCAUUUGGUUAUAUACAUUUGAGGCACAGAUUGAUAUACAGCAGAAAAAUGUUAGACUGUAGAUUUUCUUCCUAUGUCUCCAACUCAUUUCAUAGCCCGUGGCCUACAGCAGCCCUUCAAAUAGAGUCUGGAUGGAAGCACGAAGAGACGAACACAGCCAGGUACUACCAGCGCAUCAGUGGGGCGGAACUGGUCUCCAUGAGCCACCCACAGGGACUACUGCAGAGCAGGAGAGUGGGCAAUGGUGAGUGUGGAAUGACUCUUGGCUGGCAAGCAACUGCCUCCUGAAUAGUCAGAGGAGUAUCCUUACAUCCUAAUGACAUCGUGAAACAAUUAGAACCACCAUCAGUCCCUUUUCCUCCAUCCUUGUGACUCACUGGUAAAAGCUAGAGAAUCCCUCAUCAAUUACUAAGUUACUAACCUGUGAGUCAGGUGGAUUAGAGAGGCUGAACAAUCUGCA